rnacentral:rRNA from 1 species
UGCCAGCAGCCGCGGUAAUACGGAGGGUGCUAGCGUUGUUCGGAAUCACUGGGCUUAAAGCGCGUGUAGGCGGUUCGUUAAGUCUGAUGUGAAAGCCCGGGGCUCAACCCCGGAAGUGCAUUGGAAACUGGCGAACUUGAGUACGGGAGAGGAAAGUGGAAUUCCGAGUGUAGGGGUGAAAUCCGUAGAUAUUCGGAGGAACACCAGUGGCGAAGGCGGCUUUCUGGACCGGAACUGACGCUGAUGCACGAAAGCGUGGGUAGCAAACAGGAUUAGAUA